rnacentral:rRNA from 1 species
CGCCUUCAGCCUAACCUAUUGAAGGUCCAACCUGCCCAGUGAACUUUCAACGGCCGCGGUAUCCUGACCGUGCUAAGGUAGCAUAAUCCCUUGCCUUUUAAUUGAUGGCUAGUAUGAAUGGUUAGACGAGUAUAGCCUUGUCUCUAGUAAGCACCAUAAAAACUAACCUCUAGGUGCAAAGGCCUAGACUUUAUUGGAGGACAAAAAGACCCUAUCGAGCUUUAUUUAGCCGUGGCCCCUUACCUUGAUAGCCAACUAAUUAUUUUGUUGGGGCAACAAAGGAACAACCAAACCUUCCUUCACAUUAUAGCUCAUCAGCCAAUAAUACAAUUUAAUUUAAUAAAACAAAAGCUACCGUAGGGAUAACAGACUAAUCUCCCCCGAGAGCCCACAUUGACGGGGAGGCUUGGCACCUCGAUGUUGGCUUAGGGCAUCAUUAAGAAGCAGCCCUCUUAAUAGCAGGUUUGUUCAACCUUUAAUAGCCCUA